rnacentral:tRNA from 1 species
GCACCCGUAGCUCAAUUGGAUAGAGCGUCGGUCUACGGAACCGAAGGUUGCAGGUUCGAAUCCUGCCGGGUGUA